UUCCUGGUGGCUCAGAUGGUAAAGUGUCUGCCUGCAAUGCAGGAGACCCAGGUUCAAACCCUGGGUAGGGAA
rnacentral:tRNA from 1 species